rnacentral:rRNA from 1 species
UACCAGCACCCCGAGUGGUCGGGACGAUUAUUGGGCCUAAAGCAUCCGUAGCCGGUCAUGCAAGUCUUCCGUUAAAUCCACCUGCUUAACAGAUGGGCUGCGGAAGAUACUAUAGAGCUAGGAGGCGGGAGAGGCAAGCGGUACUCGAUGGGUAGGGGUAAAAUCCGUUGAUCCAUUGAAGACCACCAGUGGCGAAGGCGGCUUGCCAGAACGCGCUCGACGGUGAGGGAUGAAAGCUGGGGGAGCAAACCGG